CGGUCUGCUUACACAUGCAAGUCGAACGGAACCUUCGGGUUUAGUGGCGGACGGGUGAGUAAAGCGUGAGAAUCUGCCUCCAGGUCGGGGACAACAGCGGGAAACUGCUGCUAAUCUCGGAUGAGCCUAAGGGUAAAAGAUUUAUUGCCUGGAGAGGAGCUCGCGUCCGAUUAGCUAGUUGAUGAGGUAAGAGCUUACCAAGGCAACGAUCGGUAGCUGGUCUGAGAGGACGAUCAGCCACACUGGGACUGAGACACGGCCCAGACUCCUACGGGAGGCAGCAGUGGGGAAUUUUCCGCAAUGGGCGAAAGCCUGACGGAGCAAGACCGCGUGCGGGAGGAAGGCCCUUGGGUCGUAAACCGCUUUUCUUAGGGAAGAAGCUCUGACGGUACCUAAGGAAUCAGCCUCGGCUAACUCCGUGCCAGCAGCCGCGGUAAUACGGAGGAGGCAAGCGUUAUCCGGAAUUAUUGGGCGUAAAGCGUCCGCAGGCGGCUUACCAAGUCUGCUGUCAAAUACCAGAGCUCAACUCUGGGUCGGCGGUGGAAACUGGCAAGCUAGAGUACAGUAGGGGUAGAGGGAAUUCCCAGUGUAGCGGUGAAAUGCGUAGAGAUUGGGAAGAACACCGGUGGCGAAAGCGCUCUACUGGGCUGUAACUGACGCUGAGGGACGAAAGCUAGGGUAGCGAAAGGGAUUAGAUACCCCUGUAGUCUUAGCUGUAAACGAUGGAGACUAGGCGUGGCUUGUAUCGACCCGAGCCGUGCCGAAGCCAACGCGUUAAGUCUCCCGCCUGGGGAGUACGCACGCAAGUGUGAAACUCAAAGGAAUUGACGGGGGCCCGCACAAGCGGUGGAGUAUGUGGUUUAAUUCGAUGCAACGCGAAGAACCUUACCAAGGCUUGACAUCCCGCGAAUCCUGGUGAAAGCCGGGAGUGCCUUCGGGAGCGCGGAGACAGCUGGUGCAUGGCUGUCGUCAGCUCGUGUCGUGAGAUGUUGGGUUAAGUCCCGCAACGAGCGCAACCCUUGUCCUUAGUUGCCAGCAUUCAGUUGGGCACUCUAGGGAGACUGCCGGUGACAAACCGGAGGAAGGUGGGGAUGACGUCAAGUCAUCAUGCCCCUUACGUCUUGGGCUACACACGUACUACAAUG
rnacentral:rRNA from 1 species